rnacentral:tRNA from 1 species
GCCUCCGUAGCUCAGUGGUAGAGCGCCUGUCUUGUAAACAGAAGGCCGCGAGUUCAAUCCUCGCCGGAGGCU